rnacentral:rRNA from 1 species
GGACCAUCCUCCAAGGCUAAAUACUCCUGACUGACCGAUAGUGAACCAGUACCGUGAGGGAAAGGCGAAAAGAACCCCGGCGAGGGGAGUGAAAAAGAACCUGAAACCGUGUACGUACAAGCAGUGGGAGCCUCUUUAAUGGGGUGACUGCGUACCUUUUGUAUAAUGGGUCAGCGACUUAUAUUCUGUAGCAAGGUUAACCGAAUAGGGGAGCCGAAGGGAAACCGAGUCUUAACUGGGCGUUAAGUUGCAGGGUAUAGACCCGAAACCCGGUGAUCUAGCCAUGGGCAGGUUGAAGGUUGGGUAACACUAACUGGAGGACCGAACCGACUAAUGUUGAAAAAUUAGCGGAUGACUUGUGGCUGGGGGUGAAAGGCCAAUCAAACCGGGAGAUAGCUGGUUCUCCCCGAAAGCUAUUUAGGUAGCGCCUCGUGAAUUCAUCUCCGGGGGUAGAGCACUGUUUCGGCUAGGGGGCCAUCCCGGCUUACCAACCCGAUGCAAACUGCGAAUACCGGAGAAUGUUAUCACGGGAGACACACGGCGGGUGCUAACGUCCGUCGUGAAGAGGGAAACAACCCAGACCGCCAGCUAAGGUCCCAAAGUCAUGGUUAAGUGGGAAACGAUGUGGGAAGGCUCAGACAGCCAGGAUGUUGGCUUAGAAGCAGCCAUCAUUUAAAGAAAGCGUAAUAGCUCACUGGUCGAGUCGGCCUGCGCGGAAGAUGUAACGGGGCUAAACCAUGCACCGAAGCUGCGGCAGCGACACUAAGUGUUGUUGGGUAGGGGAGCGUUCUGUAAGCCUGUGAAGGUGUGCUGUGAGGCAUGCUGGAGGUAUCAGAAGUGCGAAUGCUGACAUAAGUAACGAUAAAGCGGGUGAAAAGCCCGCUCGCCGGAAGACCAAGGGUUCCUGUCCAACGUUAAUCGGGGCAGGGUGAGUCGACCCCUAAGGCGAGGCCGAAAGGCGUAGUCGAUGGGAAACAGGUUAAUAUUCCUGUACCAGGUGUUACUGCGAAGGGGGGACGGAGAAGGCUAUGUUGGCCGGGCGACGGUUGUCCCGGUUUAAGCGUGUAGGUGUGUGUUCCAGGUAAAUCCGGUUCACUUUAACACUGAGGCGUGAUGACGAGGCACUACGGUGCUGAAGCAACAAAUGCCCUGCUUCCAGGAAAAGCCUCUAAGCAUCAGGUAACAUCAGAUCGUACCCCAAACCGACACAGGUGGUCAGGUAGAGAAUACCAAGGCGCUUGAGAGAACUCGGGUGAAGGAACUAGGCAAAAUGGUGCCGUAACUUCGGGAGAAGGCACGCUGAUAUGUAGGUGAAGCGAUUUACUCGUGGAGCUGAAAUCAGUCGAAGAUACCAGCUGGCUGCAACUGUUUAUUAAAAACACAGCACUGUGCAAACACGAAAGUGGACGUAUACGGUGUGACGCCUGCCCGGUGCCGGAAGGUUAAUUGAUGGGGUUAUCCGUAAGGAGAAGCUCUUGAUCGAAGCCCCGGUAAACGGCGGCCGUAACUAUAACGGUCCUAAGGUAGCGAAAUUCCUUGUCGGGUAAGUUCCGACCUGCACGAAUGGCGUAAUGAUGGCCAGGCUGUCUCCACCCGAGACUCAGUGAAAUUGAACUCGCUGUGAAGAUGCAGUGUACCCGCGGCAAGACGGAAAGACCCCGUGAACCUUUACUAUAGCUUGACACUGAACACUGGUCCUUGAUGUGUAGGAUAGGUGGGAGGCUUUGAAGCGCG